rnacentral:rRNA from 1 species
GACGAACGCUGGCGGCGUGCUUAACACAUGCAAGUCGAACGGAAAGGCCCUGCUUUUGUGGGGUGCUCGAGUGGCGAACGGGUGAGUAACACGUGAGUAACCUGCCCUUGACUUUGGGAUAACUUCAGGAAACUGGGGCUAAUACCGGAUAGGAGCUCCUGCUGCACGGUGGGGGUUGGAAAGUUUCGGCGGUUGGGGAUGGACUCGCGGCUUAUCAGCGUGUCGGUGGGGUAGUGGCUUACCAAGGCUUUGACGGGUAGCCGGCCUGAGAGGGUGACCGGCCACAUUGGGACUGAGAUCCCGCCCAGACUCCUACGGGACGCAGCAGUGCGGCAUAUUGCACCAUGGGCGGAAGCCUGAUGCAGCAACGCCGCGUGCGGGAUGACGGCCUUCGGGUUGUAAACCGCUUUCGCCUGUGACGAAGCGUGAGUGACGGUAAUGGGUAAAGAAGCCCCGGCUAACUACGUG